rnacentral:rRNA from 1 species
GAGAGUUUGAUCCUGGCUCAGGACGAACGCUGGCGGCGUGCCUAACACAUGCAAGUCGAGCGAGGAGAUUCCCUUCGGGGAUGAACCUAGCGGCGGACGGGUGAGUAACACGUAGGCAACCUGCCUUAUAGAGGGGAAUAGCCUUCCGAAAGGAAGAUUAAUACCGCAUAACAUUACAUUUUCGCAUGAAGAAGUAAUUAAAGGAGUAAUCCGCUAUAAGAUGGGCCCGCGGCGCAUUAGCUAGUUGGUGAGGUAACGGCUCACCAAGGCGACGAUGCGUAGCCGACCUGAGAGGGUGAUCGGCCACAUUGGGACUGAGACACGGCCCAGACUCCUACGGGAGGCAGCAGUGGGGAAUAUUGCACAAUGGGGGAAACCCUGAUGCAGCAACGCCGCGUGAGUGAUGAAGGUCUUCGGAUCGUAAAGCUCUGUCUUCAGGGACGAUAAUGACGGUACCUGAGGAGGAAGCCACGGCUAACUACG